rnacentral:rRNA from 1 species
GAUGAACGCUGGCGGCGUGCUUAACACAUGCAAGUCGAACGAUGAAGCCCAGCUUGCUGGGUGGAUUAGUGGCGAACGGGUGAGUAACACGUGAGUAACCUGCCCUUGACUCUGGGAUAAGCCUGGGAAACUGGGUCUAAUACUGGAUAUGACUUCUCAUCGCAUGGUGGGGGGUGGAAAGAUUUAUUGGUCUUGGAUGGACUCGCGGCCUAUCAGCUUGUUGGUGAGGUAAUGGCUCACCAAGGCGACGACGGGUAGCCGGCCUGAGAGGGUGACCGGCCACACUGGGACUGAGACACGGCCCAGACUCCUACGGGAGGCAGCAGUGGGGAAUAUUGCACAAUGGGCGCAAGCCUGAUGCAGCGACGCCGCGUGAGGGAUGAAGGCCUUCGGGUUGUAAACCUCUUUCAGUAGGGAAGAAGCGAGAGUGACGGUACCUGCAGAAGAAGCGCCGGCUAACUACGUG